CCCCCUCGGGUAUCCUCAGCCGGAACAGGCAUUUGAUGUGUGACACCUCAAGCACACCUGAUGCAACUAAUCAAACCCCUUGACUAGUUCAUUCCAGUAAUUUCCAUUUUUCAGCGUUUUCGUCUAUCAGUUUUAUCUUUUUGGAGACAGGCCUUAUAUGAAAACUUGAAUUUGAAAGAGAAACAGGAAGGUCUAGAGAGCACACCAGUAAAUAUGAGUCGGUUCUGGACCUAAAAUAUAUAAAUAUAGCUAAUGCUGUUUCCACCAAGGAGAUUCCGGCUGAGUUUAGAUAAUAAUAACUCUCCAUUAGUUCAAAAUUCUACGUAAAGAACCAGGCUUUAUUGAGAAACCGUUAUCCUCUGAAACCAUUCGGAAUACAUUGAGUUCCUGUGGACUCUCAGUGCUGAUGGAUCACCGAAAUUGUUCGCGGAUUGUUUGCCCUCAGAAGACGCAGGUGUCCAGGACACUUAUCAACAAUGGAAGUUCCCGUGGUAACGGCUGAUUGCCGGUUCCCCUUGAGAUGGGGUGAGGGUUUAUGCGUCAACCCCCGUGGGGGGUGAGGUGGAGCAGAGCAUCAUCAUCAUCGUCAUCGUCGUCAUCAUCAUCAUCAUCACCACCAUUACCACCGUCAUCAUCAUUAUCGUCGAUGCAACGCAACAACUGCAACAAACCACAGAGAACUCCGCAGCGAGACGUGGGAGAGACGCCGUUCGGUGGAGUUGACAGAGCGGGAUGUUUGAGGCACGAAAGUUAGGGGGUGAGGCGCCCUUCUCCUGACUGAAGGACAGAAUCUUGUUCGGAGCGGCGUGAGGUUUAACAGGUAUGUGAUAAAAGCCAGACUGAAACAUGCGCUGCUCUCCUGCCAAUCACGCCCGGAGUUUCCUGUCUUCUCCAUACUCCCUGCUUUGUCAGUCCCGGCGAUGGUGGGCUGCCAUGGAAUUUGAAUUCGGGCUUCGGGGAGCAGCGGGUCGCGGUCCUGUUACUUCUCUCUCUCCCUUUCCGGAACAUUCUUUGUCAGGAGUCAAAGCAAGCAGAGACCUCAGGCCUGACCUUCGACCCCCGCAGACACUUGCACUGCAUCAGUAGGAUUUGUGGAAUUUAGCAGCCCGGACAACCUGUUUCCAAAUUUUCCACGGGAGCUGAGAAAUUCUCCAGCUAAAUAUGUCCAUGAACAACACCUCAAACUCAAACAUUGGGAAAAUGUAACAAAGGGUUCAGUCUGUUAACUGCAUAUGAUUCUCAGGUGACCAACAGACUUAAAAAUGCACACACAGCUGAUUUAUUAUCUACUUAAAAGUGGCUUUUGGAUUUCAACUAAUUGCAGCGUAUUGCUUUGUUUUCUCUUUUUAGAAUUUUAUUUACUUUUAUUUAUAUUAUUAUCAAGACUCGAUAUCCGACUCGAUCAAAGUUCAGCUCUUGCUCAGGUCAUAUUCUUUGUCUCUUUGCUUCCAUAAAAUGUGAUAGUACGCAAUUCUGUUAUAUAAUAUUUGUAUAUUCAUAUUGGAAGUAAAACCAUACAUGGCUUUGAUGGCUUUGCAGCAACCACUUGGGACGUGAUUGUGUCUGAAUUAGUAGGUCUGGUCUGGCUGCCGGCACAGAAGAAUGAAGCGAAGGCUUUUAAGCAUAAAGGAACAGUGCUUAUCUUUAAACGAGAGCCCCCGUUUUGAGUGCCUGCGCCCCUAAACCUGGUCUGAACGCGGUUCUCGUGUCUCUUCCCACGGCGUGAGAAACGGCCUGACUCGGCUCAGAAGUCGCUCUUGCACUAAAGACGCUGGUCUUUGCGUCAGAAGUAGGUUUUGUACCUGGCUUACCGCGCUAAUUAGCCUUCAUCUGGGCAGCCAUUUACGGAGCCGUCAAGUGCCUGCAUUCAUAAGCGGUUCCCACUCAAACCUCUCUGCCCUUGGCUGGCUCUUUGGAUUAGCGCCCGUUUUGUCUGAUAUCCUGAUUACAGCAUAUUCCUGCGCAACUUUCAGAAAAAAAGUCAUCAAACGUGAGAGUAUUAAACAACAGGGAUAUAGUUUUUAAUGUUCAUGAGAACAUACUACACAGUAAAAUGUUCGGUGUUAAUUCAGCAUUACCAGAUGAUAAAAUUUGGUCCCCAUUGGGACAAAAUGUUACUUGUUAGUUGAAUUCACACUGGACGUUUUACUGUGCACUGAUCUUUAAAAAAUAUCAUAUCGCCACUUUGCUGAAAUCUGAACAGGCCUUGGCAGUAAUUUAAAAUACUGCUGCUCACUGGGGGAGCAGCCUCCCUGCACAUACAUUUAAUUGAGAGCCUGGAAUAAAUAAAAGGUAGGAUAUUAAAUAUGGAUAUUAAUAUAUUAUAUAUUAAAAGGAAAGAAGAAUCAAAUCCGGGGCACCGUCUCUCAGUGGAUUAUGUUGAAUGACUCUGAAAGUGGGUUUAUGUUUGUAUUUGUAGAGAGAUUGUGGGUAUGGCUGACACAGAUUCUACCCUAGGACAAGUUCAUUGACUGAUCAUAGCCGGGUAAUAUGAGGCACUGUUUGUUCGACACAGUCUCCUUCUCCGUGAGCGCGUUCCUGUGUAGUCUGGAUCGAUGGCUCCUUGCAGAUGAUUCUCAGUGAAUGUCUGUUGUACGUCUGACCUGGAACCCUUUCCUGCAACACCAGGUUAACUGCCCCCCCCCUCCUGUCUGUUCAUGCCCAGCUGUUCAGUAAGCAACAUAGGCUGCUUAUAGAAUUCUGAAAUGUUCUGUGUGGAAGAAUGCUAGACAUUGCGUCACUAUGUGCUUGUGGAUUUGUGUUUUUUUUAUAUUUUAAUUUUCAUUUUUAUACGCGUGCUGUUUAAUGUUUGUUGUACAUUAAGUACCACCACUAGCCAUUUAGAUCCUUUGUGUAUCUUUACUGAGCUUUUUUAAAAUGACUGUUACAGUCCUUUCGCUGUUCUUCUCUUAUAUAUAAUUCAUGGAGUUUUGCUGAAUUUUUGGCAAAACCCUGAAGGUUGCGCAGCACACCUACGUUUUGUUCUUCACCUAUACCUUCAGGUAUACCUUCAGCACACACAAUAGCAGUAAAACUUCUGUAAACUC